GCUUGUUCAAAUAUUUUCCCACUGAGUAAAUCAGCUUAUUAAAAGGCCACUUGUGUUGGACAUCAUACCACUGCCUCCUCACAGCGACCUGUUGUUUUUCUUUUUAGCUUGGCUGCACAGAUUUUUGCAAUGAACCCAUUUGAGCCCUGGACAACCCCAGACAAGAUUGACAGGUUUCACUUAACAGACAUGAAGUAUCCAGGACUCCCUGGUCUGGAGGAUCUCGGUAUCACUCCAUCCUCUGUAGAACAAAAGGCAAUCGAGAUUCUGCGUCGCCACCGCCAGUUCCGUUACCUCGAAGCUGACCUGGAUGAGACAAAACCAGCCAAGACUGUCGACUAUUAAACUACACAGAAAGAAAUCUCUUUCAGUGUGUUGUCUUUAACUAUAUUCUGUACAUAAAUAAAGAAUUAUCCUCAAA